CCUACGGGAGGCAGCAGUGAGGAAUAUUGGACAAUGGGCGCAAGCCUGAUCCAGCCAUGCCGCGUGCAGGAAGACGGUCCUAUGGAUUGUAAACUGCUUUUAUACAGGAAGAAACACCUCUACGUGUAGAGACUUGACGGUACUGUAUGAAUAAGCAUCGGCUAACUCCGUGCCAGCAGCCGCGGUAAUACGGAGGAUGCAAGCGUUAUCCGGAAUCAUUGGGUUUAGAGGGUCCGUAGGCGGUUUAAUAAGUCAGUGGUGAAAGCCCAUCGCUCAACGAUGGAACGGCCAUUGAUACUGUUAAACUUGAAUUAUUAGGAAGUAACUAGAAUAUGUAGUGUAGCGGUGAAAUGCUUAGAGAUUACAUGGAAUACCAAUUGCGAAGGCAGGUUACUACUAAUAUAUUGACGCUGAUGGACGAAAGCGUGGGGAGCGAACAGGAUUAGAUACCCUGGUAGUCCACGCCGUAAACGAUGGAUACUAGCUGUUCGGAGCAAUCUGAGUGGCUAAGCGAAAGUGAUAAGUAUCCCACCUGGGGAGUACGUUCGCAAGAAUGAAACUCAAAGGAUUGACGG
rnacentral:rRNA from 1 species